rnacentral:tRNA from 1 species
ACCGCCUGGUGGACGGCGCCGACGCCGGGCGCUUCCUGAGCACCCUCAAGAAGCGUCUCGAGGCUGGCCAGUUCGAGUCCGAGGUCGGUC